CUACACACUUGGUCGGAAGGCAUCUCAGAUACCCCACAAAGAAGCUGGACAAGGCUUAUUUGUAGAUGGUGAAGCUGAUGUUGGCAUUGUGAUUGCCUUGUACUCUGGCGUGAUAUACACCCCACCUUAUUAUCGUCAUAUCCCUGGAUACCCAAGAGUGUAGCCAAUGAUAUCUUUCAACCUCCAUGAAACUUCUGCACUUUUCAAUGGUCUUGUCUCAGACAUAGCUGUGCUGG
rnacentral:misc_RNA from 1 species